rnacentral:rRNA from 1 species
GACGAACGCUGGCGGCGUGCUUAACACAUGCAAGUCGAACGGAAAGGCCUGCUUUCCCUUGUGGAUUGCGGGUACUCGAGUGGCGAACGGGUGAGUAACACGUGAGUGAUCUGCCCCCAACUUGGGUAUAAGCCUGGGAAACUGGGUCUAAUUCCCGAUAGGACUGCAGGGUGGUGCCUGUGGUGGAAAACGAUUUUCUAGUGGUUGGGGAUGAGCUCGCGGCCUAUCAGCUUGUUGGUGGGGUAAUGGCCUACCAAGGCGGCGACGGGUAGCCGGCCUGAGAGGGUGGACGGCCACAGUGGGACUGAGAUACGGCCCAGACUCCUACGGGAGGCAGCAGUGGGGAAUAAGGCACAAUGGGCGGAAGCCUGAUGCAGCGACGCCGCGUGGGGGAUGACGGCCUUCGGGUUGUAAACUCCUUUCGACCGCGAGGAAGCCACCUGGUUGGAAGGGUGGUGACGGUAGUGGUAGAAGAAGCACCGGCUAACUACGUG